GGCGGGAUAGCUCAGGUGGUAGAGCACGUGACUGAAAAUCACGGUGUCCCCGGUUCGAGUCCGGGUCCCGCCAC
rnacentral:tRNA from 1 species